AUCUCAGAAGGAUUUAUAAUACAGUAAAGGGUUAGACUGGGAUUUCUAAAGAUUCGCACCUUAAUCUUUGUAAUUCCAAAGCAUCCACAAACAUUUUCUCACAGUUGUAGAUGAUGAUUGUGCUCCUUUGUUUGUCCAAGAUGCUAUGCAGAGGGUGAGAGUAAUUGUCCUAUACCACUUCUCCCAGAAUACUAGUGUCAGCUGAGGAAUUACUGUACCAGGAAGUCAACAUUGCUGCAUACCACACACACAUUGUCCGAACCACUUGUCCCAUACAGGGGCACGGGGAGCCAAAGCUUAACCCAGAAACACAAGGCAUAAGGGGGAGAGGACACACCCAGGACAAGUCAUAAGGCACCCCAAGCAGGACUUGAACCCCAGACCCACUGGAGAGCAGGACCUGGUCCAACCCACCGUGCCACCACACCCCCUGUGUACCAUACUCUUAAUUUUGAAAUGUUUGAACAUACAUCUCUAUUUAGUUGGUGCCAAUGUGCUGGAUAAGAGGAUUGCUCAACACGGACCGCAAGAAUGAAAAGAGCACAAGUCCUUCCACUACUGCAUCCGGCCUGUUUGCUCUCCAAACCUGGCAUGUCUAGUGUGCCACAGAAACCAUUAUUAGAGUAAUCCUGCUAAAAAUUAUAACACAACCUUUGAAAAAAGCAAAUAAAAUGUUUUUUAAACUUUAAAUUAACUCA
rnacentral:lncRNA from 1 species